rnacentral:rRNA from 1 species
CCAUGCCGCGUGUCUGAAGAAGGCCUUCGGGUUGUAAGGACUUUUGUCAGGGAGCAAAACUUACUGGUUAAUACCUGGUGAGGUUGAGAGUACCUGAAGAAUAAGCACCGGCUAACUACGUGCCAGCAGCCGCGGUAAUACGUAGGGUGCAAGCGUUAAUCGGAAUUACUGGGCGUAAAGCGUGCGCAGGCGGACUUUUAAGCCAGAUGUGAAAGCCCCGAGCUUAACUUGGGAAUUGCGUUUGGAACUGGGAGUCUAGAGUCUGUCAGAGGGGGAUGGAAUUCCACGUGUAGCAGUGAAAUGCGUAGAGAUGUGGAGGAACACCGAUGGCGAAGGCAGUCCCCUGGGAUAAGACUGACGCUCAUGCACGAAAGCGUGGGGAGCAAACAGGAUUAGAUACCCUGGUAGUCCACGCCCUAAACGAUGUCUACUAGUUGUUGGGGUAGCAAUACCUCAGUGACGCAGCUAACGCGUGAAGUAGACCGCCUGGGGAGUACGGUCGCAAGAUUAAAACUCAAAGGAAUUGACGGGGG